UGUGGAAGAGCCGUCUCUUCUCUUCAUCUCUCCGUCUCUAUCUCUUCCUCUCUAUCUCUUCCUCCCUGUCUCUCUCCUCUCUGUCUCUCUCCCGAUGAUGAAUCCACAAGGCCAUCUCGAACCUGAUUCCGAACCUCCUCCGACGAUUCCUUCGAGUCGGUGGGUGUUGAGAUGAGGAAUGGUGAAGAAACUAAAUGUGUUUUCCCCAUGACGAGUCUCCAGAUCGGAGACUUGCAAUCAUAUCUUUCUGAUCUCAGUAUUUUCAUGGCCAAUAAAAGCAAGAAGAUUUACAUAUUGGUAGACAACCGGCCAUGGUUGAAUCCUGGCACCCGAUCUGCUCACUUCUGGAAACUUAUGGUUACAAAGUCCAGACUCUCUUUGACUCGCGUUGAUCGACGCCACAACCUUUUCCAAGAACAAAAAUACCUGCAAAGAAACUGCAAAGCUCUUUGUAUCUAAACAAGCAGCUGCACAAGACAUUGUACUGUUUCAUCGUGUUUGAAGUUGAGUGGGAGAAUGUGAGGGGUAUCAAUUACCUGAAUGAGCUACAGACAGACACCUCUCUUGCUAUUGAAGCUAAGUUGAUGCGAAGGUGGGAGUUCGAGAGCAGCUGCACAAGACAUUGUACGGUUUCAUCGUGCUUGAAGUUGAGUGGGACAAUGUGAGGGGUAUCAAUUACCUGAAUGAGCUACAUACAGACACCUCUCUUGCUAUUGAAGCUAAGUUGAUAUGAAGGUGGGAGUUCGAGAGCAUCGACCAAGCUGUAACGAAUAUGUCUCAGUGGUUCUCUGGAUCAAAAUCAGAAAGAUCUUGCUUGAUGGAAUAUCUUGAUACAACUAAAGGUAUUAUUCCCUUUUCACUAAUGGCUUAUCGUUCUCUAGAUCAAGUAAGCUUACACAAUAUUGUUCCCUUGUAAUCUUCUCUAUAUUAAGUUUUGGUAAAACCAAACAAUUUGAUCACAAAUUUUCUUUUUCUCUCAUUCUUUCUAUAAAGUCAUAUUCUCUUUUCUCAUUCUCUAUAUAAAGGGUUAAAUCAUUUUCUAUAUAAACCGAAUAAUUUUUUUUUAAGAACUCUUAAUUAAGGGAGUAUCAUUGGAGCAUAUAAAUGUUGAUGUCUCUUAACUAAGUUCUUAAGUAACAUUUAUUAUUAAAAAAAAUCAUUAAGAGACCCUAAUGGGGUUGUAAGGUUAAUCAUGCUCUUAGUGCUUUAAAAGGAGGCAGUAAGGCUUCAGAAUGGUGAUGUGGUUUGUCUAUGUGCUAGCCAAAGUGAACUUGGUAGAGUGAGCAUCUGCUGUUAAGCUCUGCCAGUUAGUGUUAUCUUGACUCAUGUCGGAUCUAGGUUUUGUUGUUGAACGUCGUUGCUUAGACUUUCAAGGCAACCUUCGACGCAGCCUCUACUAUCUGCUUAGAUGAAUGAUUCUUUGUUUGUUUUACGAGAGGAAAUAACUUUCUUUUGCUACAUAAGCAUUUGUUAAAUCUUUUUCUUGUAUCUCCUUUUGACUCGUUUAUGGCUUCGGCUUUAUUCGAUUCUAAGUUAUUAUCGUUACUUUUACAUUCUAAUGCUAGCAAACAGAUGUGUUUGAGUCUUAAUUGUCUUUAUUUCCAUGUUUUGUUU